rnacentral:siRNA from 1 species
CCGCUAUGGUGAAAUUGG